GAUGAACGCUGGCGGCGUGCCUAAUACAUGCAAGUCGAGCGAACAGAUGAGGAGCUUGCUCCUCUGACGUUAGCGGCGGACGGGUGAGUAACACGUGGAUAACCUACCUAUAAGACUGGGAUAACUUCGGGAAACCGGAGCUAAUACCGGAUAAUAUAUUGAACCGCAUGGUUCAAUAGUGAAAGACGGUUUUGCUGUCACUUAUAGAUGGAUCCGCGCCGCAUUAGCUAGUUGGUAAGUUAACGGCUUACCAAGGCAACGAUGCGUAGCCGACCUGAGAGGGGGAUCGGCCACACUGGAACUGGGACACGGUCCAGACUCCUACGGGAGGCAGCAGUAGGGAAUCUUCCGCAAUGGGCGAAAGCCUGACGGAGCAACGCCGCGUGAGUGAUGAAGGUCUUCGGAUCGUAAAACUCUGUUAUUAGGGAAGAACAAAUGUGUAAGUAACUAUGCACGUCUUGACGGUACCUAAUCAGAAAGCCACGGCUAACUACGUG
rnacentral:rRNA from 1 species